rnacentral:rRNA from 1 species
GAUGAACGCUGGCGGUAUGCUUAACACAUGCAAGUCGAACGGACUCUUCGGAGUUAGUGGCGGACGGGUGAGUAACGCGUGAGAAUCUGGCUUUGGGUUCGGGACAACCACUGGAAACGGUGGCUAAUACCGGAUGUGCCGAGAGGUAAAAGAGAAAUUGCCUGAAGAUGAGCUCGCGUCUGAUUAGCUAGUUGGUGAGGUAAAGGCUCACCAAGGCAGCGAUCAGUAGCUGGUCUGAGAGGAUGACCAGCCACACUGGGACUGAGACACGGCCCAGACUCCUACGGGAGGCAGCAGUGGGGAAUUUUCCGCAAUGGGCGAAAGACUGACGGAGCAAUACCGCGUGAAGGAAGAAGGCUCUUGGGUUGUAAACCUCUUUUCUUAGGGAAGAACAAAAUGACGGUACCUAAGGAAUCAGCAUCGGCUAACUCCGUG